rnacentral:lncRNA from 1 species
CGUGAUUUCAGCGCCCAGCCUGAGAUCCCCAUAGCUAGCACUAACCGCAUACUGCAUUUAUUGAUCAUCAGCCACGUGCAGCCCUUAGCUGCAGCCUGGGGUGCAGCCAGCCCACCGGAGGUGGACUCCACACCCCUGUGGGCCAGGGACAGGGAGGGAAAGCAAGGGCUAAACUAUAUUUUACUCCUCUGGCUCCAUCUGCCCUGCUUUACCCGCUUUGCCUGCAGCCUCAUGAAAUGGGAGAAGAGCAAGGCAUUGCAGCAGCUCCCCCUUCCGUGCUCGCUGAGGAUGCCCAUGCUUUCCUCUGCGUGGGGACCUUCCAGACCCCCGCGGGCUUUUCUGCCCUCGGGGAACAGGAAAGAGAUGAUCGGAGAAGCAGGGAGUCUGCAUAGCAGGGUGAAGAGACCUGCACUGCAUAGCCUCGUGGGGGACAGUACAUGGGAUGAAAGCUGCGCGGAUAAGUUGUGGUGGCUGUGGAACACGGCAUAUGGAGAGAGGCUGUUACCCAUGACUCGCUGCGUAGCCACACGCAUCCACCGCAGCUGCUGGGUAACACAGAUUUGCUGCAUAUGUGUGUGCUUGCACUGGCGUUUGGGUUUUACUUAGGCUCACUAUCAUUCUACCAUUUACUUUUUUUUACAGACAAAGGAACUUUUGAGAUAUCAUUUUAAAUAAGUUUGUAACCUGGAAUUUGUACACGCAGCUGAGGUUCUAUGUCCAAUGAAGUCAAUGGGAGACUGAUAUCAACAAGGCGACCAUUUCAUCUUGGGAAGGCUUACACAGAUGUUUCACCUGACGCAUUUUCUUUAAUUGAGACUUGUUUAAAGUUGAGAAUGUGCACAAGUCUGCAAGGUCUGACAUCCCUCAACAAGGGAAAAGAAGAGGGAAAUAGGCUUCCAAAUGAAGUAUUAGACAAUACCUAAUGUGAAAUCAUUUGGGAUCUCUGCUGUUCCUUGAUUAUGGUUUGUUCUGGUACUAGAACUGGAGGCUGUUUCUGAAGGAGCAGUAUCAGUAGAGAAGUUUUAUUGCUCAGCAGGCAACAAA